UACGGGGGGGGCGAGCGUUGUUCGGAAUUACUGGGCGUAAAGGGUUUGUAGGUGGCCUGCUAAGUCAGACGUGAAAUCCCUCAGCUUAACUGGGGAACUGCGUCUGAUACUGGCGGGCUUGAGGACAGGAGAGGAACGCGGAAUUCCAGGUGUAGCGGUGAAAUGCGUAGAUAUCUGGAGGAACACCGGUGGCGAAGGCGGCGUUCUGGACUGUUUCUGACACUGAAAAACGAAAGCCAGGGGAGCAAGCGGG
rnacentral:rRNA from 1 species